rnacentral:rRNA from 1 species
GUAACACGUAUGCAACCUACCCUUUACUGGGGCAUAGCUCAGAGAAAUCUGAAUUAAUUCCCCAUAAUACAAUUGAAUGGCAUCAUUUGAUUAUUAAAGCUGAGGCGGUAAAGGAUGGGCAUGCGUUGCAUUAGCUAGUUGGUGAGGUAAUGGCUCACCAAGGCUACGAUGCAUAGGGGUUCUGAGAGGAUGAUCCCCCACACUGGUACUGAGACACGGACCAGACUCCUACGGGAGGCAGCAGUAGGGAAUAUUGGUCAAUGGACGCAAGUCUGAACCAGCCAUGCCGCGUGCAGGAAGACGGCCCUCUGGGUUGUAAACUGCUUUUAUAUGGGAAGAAACCUCAUUAUGCGUAAUGAACUGACGGUACCAUAUGAAUAAGGAUCGGCUAACUUCGUGCCAGCAGCCGCGGUAAGACGAAGGAUCCAAGCGUUGUCCGGAUUUACUGGGUUUAAAGGGUGCGUAGGCGGAAUUUUAAGUCAGUGGUGAAAGCCCUUCGCUCAACGAAGGAACUGCCAUUGAAACUGAAAUUCUUGAAUACGGUUGAGGUAGAUGGAAUAUAACAUGUAGCGGUGAAAUGCUUAGAUAUGUUAUAGAACACCGAUUGCGAAGGCAGUCUACUAAGCCGUGAUAGACGCUGAGGCA